rnacentral:lncRNA from 1 species
GCUUGUCUCCUCAUGUUACUGAAAGCAGCAUUGGUUAUUACAAAGUCAAGCAUGAUGGUAUGUAUAAGGUAGCUCAUUCUUUGCCUCUAAAAAGAAAAUUAGGUAACUGAUUGCAAAAUGCCUGAUGCCUCUGUGUGGAGGGGGCACUUCAGAUGGUUGUGUCCCAUCUUUUCAUGUCAAUGGAAGUAUGAUCAUGACUUAUUCUCACAUGUCAUUUUCUUUCUAAUAUCAGUAUGUAAUGUGUCAUUAAAAGUCUUUUGUUCUCGAUAAAGAUCUAUUUGCAUGACUGCUUAUUUGGUUGAUACCAGUUUGACUAUAAGCUCUAGCCUGACUUUGUUAUUGAUUUUACAAAGUCAUACAUGACUGAACAUAUGAGAUAUCUCAUUCUUUAUGUAUAAAAAAAAAGUUAGGUAACUCUUUGUCAAAUGUCCGACGCCUCUGUGCAGGAGGAGGCACUUUAGAUUGCUGUACCCUCUUUUCAUGUCAAUGGUAUACGAUCCUGACUUGUUCUCACAUCAUUUUCUUUGUAAUAACAUCAUGUAAACAACAACAACAACCCAGUAUAAUCCCACUUAGUGGGGUCUGGGAGGGUAGUAUCUACGGACCUUACCCCUACCCUGGGGUAGAGAAGCUGUUUCCAGAUAGACCCCCGACAUCCUUCCCUCCAAGAACUUCCCACCUUGCUCUUGGGAGNNNNNNNNNNNNNNNNNNNNNNNNNNNNNNNNNNNNNNNNNNNNNNNNNNNNNNNNNNNNNNNNNNCAAGAACUUCCCACCUUGCUCUUGGGAGACUCGAACUCACAACCUCUCGGUUGGAAGUGAGGGUUGCUUACCAUCAGAGCAACCCCUCUUGUCUAAUAACAUCAUGUAAAGUGUCAUUAAAAAUCUUUCAUUCUUGAUUAAAGAUCUAUUUGCAUGGCUUUGCUUAUUUGAUUGAUGCCAGUGUGACUGUAAGCUCUGGCCUGACUUUGCAUCGGCUUUUACGAAGUCAUACAUGACUGAAUAUAUAAGAUAAAUCAUUCUUUUUGUAUGAAAAAGAAAACUAGAUAAUUCAUUGUGAAAUGUUCGACGCCUCUGUGCAGGAGGAGGCACUUUAGAUGGUUGUAUCCUCUCUUUCAGGUCAAUGAAAGUAUGUCCAUGACUUGUUCUGACAUGUCAAUUUCUUUCUAAUAUAAUCAUGUAAAGUUUCACUAAAAGUCUAUCAUUCUCGAUAAACAUCUAUUUGCAUGACUAUGCUAGUAGGAGGUAGUAGCUACUUGGUGGAAUAGUCGAGAUGUGCACAAGCUAACACAGACACCACGUUAUGAAAAAAUAUUUAUCUAUUUGUAUGACUUCCCUUAUUUGCUUGAUGCCAAUGGGAUUAUAUGCUCUUGCCUGCCUGCAGAAUGGAAGAAGUCAAAGCAAGUUGACAGGGCAUAUUGUGGAAGUUGCAGACAUGUAAGCCACAACCAGAUGGAAGUCCUCCUUUACUGAAGUUUGUAUGAAAUUGUUGGAACAUACAUCCAAAUGCUCACUGUUGCUGUAAAUGCAGAGUAGAUAAACCUAUAAAAUGCAAAAUGAUUCCCCAUAAUGACUUGGUGUAUCACUCUUUUAUCAAUGUAUAUAAUACAUUGUUAUUCUGGUCAGCGUUGACAUUCUAUUCCAAGGAUGCUGUUAUUUGUUAUAGAAGUGGAAUAUAGUUUAAUUCCCCGUAAUGACUUGGUGUGUCACUCUUUUAUCAGUGUAUAUAAUACAUUGUUAUUCUGGUCAGCAUUGACAUUCUAUUCAAAGGAUGCUGUUAUUUGUUAUAAAAGUGGAAUAUAGUUUUCUCAUUUCAAAUGUUC